rnacentral:lncRNA from 1 species
AAAUGAAAGAAUAGCUUCAUAAACAUUGAAUUGCAGUUCUGUGAAAUGUUAAAACUAGUAAUUCAUUCCAUCCACUCAAACAUAAGCAGUGCCCAAUGACGCAGGAACGUUAAUACAAGAUUACCGACUAUUCGUGGUUCUACUCCAAACAAUUUGACUACCUACUGUCCAAAUACAAAAAACCACCAAUUGUACAAUUAAUCUGAAUUGUAGUUCAACUACAUCAAAUGGUAUAGCAAAUUAUACUUGCACACGAAAUCUCUGCAUAAGAAAUAGUUAAGUAAAAUUUUAAACCGUGCAAAUUAAAAAAAUUAAAAAAAACUAUCUUUCUUACCACUAAAUCAUUAAACUGUUGAUCUGGUGUAAGUUAUAAAGCAAUAAUUUUAGGAAAGGGAUCCUUCCUCCUAAUCCAUCAAGUUCGGGGAUUCAGGCCGUUGAAAUUUGAUCCAACGGCUACAAACAGGAGCCCACUUUAAAAGUUAUAAUAACUUUAACCGUUUGAUCAAAUUUCAAAGACCCGGAUUCUUGAACUUGGUGGAUUAGGAGGAAGGGAUAUGAUCCGUAAUUUUAAUGAUAGCAUUUUGAGUAUCUAAGCAUGCUAGUACAAUAUCAAGGAAUAAAAUAUUAUAGGGUAGAUAUUAGUUUACAACCUACAAGUUUCGUGGUUUUCAACAUUUGAUACAUAAAGUUUUUUUCGUCUCAGAGUCAUACCUAAAGUGUUAAUUUUGAGACAGUCUUAUACAUCCGUUAGUCAAACUGUUAACUUUGUCAUUAACUGAUGAUGUGGUGUCUAUGUGAACAAUGACUAGACGCCAUGUGUCAUUAAGGG